rnacentral:lncRNA from 1 species
CCCGCUGGCGCGGUGCGGCCGCCCGGGCCUGGGCGCCGAGGCCGUUGUGACCCCGCUUGGGACUUGACUCCUCGGGCUGCGAGCCCCCGCGUAGCCUCGCUUCUUCCACAUGGCAGACGGGCUCCCAGGUAGCCCCAACUGACUCUGCUGUGAAAGAAGUUUGACGUGCUCCUCUUUCCUUCUUCUGAUAAGCACCUUCCUGUGAAGUUUCCAGAUCCUCAGACCAUGCUCCGG